ensembl:snRNA U1 U1 spliceosomal RNA
AUACUUACCUGGCAGGGGAGACACCCUGGUCACGGAGGUGGUUUUCCCAGGGCGAGGCUCACCAGAUGUGCUGACCCCUGCGAUUCUGCAAUUUCCCAAAAAAUGGGAAACUCGAUUGCAUAAUUUGUGGUAGUGGGAGACUGCGUUUGCCCUCUCCCC